UUGCUGUAGUUGGUUCCUGUAGUUGGUUGCUGUAGUUGGUUCCUGAAGUUGGUUGCUGUAGUUGGUUCCUGUAGUUGGUUGCUGUAGUUGGUUCCUGAAGUUGGUUGCUGUAGUUGGUUCCUGUAGUUGGUUGCUGUAGUUGGUUCCUGAAGUUGGUUGCUGCAGUUGGUUGCUGUAGUUGGUUCCUGAAGUUGGUUGCUGCAGUUGUUGGCUGUAGUUGGUUCCUGUAGUUGGUUGCUGUAGUUGGUUCCUGAAGUUGGUUGCUGUAGUUGGUUCCUGUAGUUGGUUGCUGUAGUUGGUUCCUGAAGUUGGUUGCUGCAGUUGGUUGCUGUAGUACUAGCGGCUGCCGUUCAGAAGCAGAUUGUGUUUGGUGCUGUGGGAGUUCUUCCUCCUCAAGCUGAUGAUUCACUGCAAAUUGAAUCAAACGUGAAAGUGGCACAAAAUCAUAUUCAAAUGUCAACAUGUGAACACCACGAGGCGUUCACUGACGUGCUUACACAACACUGCACCUUUCACAGCAACAAGGAGGUUGUUUGGGGCCAACAUGGCUGAAUGUGCAGAGACAGGAAACAAAGUGUAAUUGAGUAAAGAAGUCAGUGAUGAUCAUAACGUCUAAUUAUUGUCAGAAUGACUCAAAAUAAUCUCCUGCACAAAAAGACCUACACAGGGCAAACUGCUCUCUUUGGAGUAGGUCUUUUAUUUUGAAAAUUCAUUGUUGCACACUGGGUUCAGCUGGGUUCAAUGGGGGAUCAGGUCCAGAAGUUUGGACCCAGGAAGACUUAGUUCCUGUAGUUGCUGUAGUCAGUUGCUGUAGUCAGUUGCAGGUGUUGCUGCAGCAGCGUUGCUGCACACGGCGGCAGCGUGCAGCAGCUGCAGGUCUCUUAUGUAACAGCAGCUUCCAUCCUGCUGCUGAACAGAUUAAAACCAGAGAGGAUUAAUACACACACACACACACAGCUGACCUACAUCCAGCUCACAGGGAAACAUACGCCUGUGUAUGUUUGUGUAUAUGUGUUUAUAUGUGUGUGUGUUAGGAUUACUGUACAGUUGUAUUUGUUGUAUCAGAUGGGUGUAUAGUGUUAAUCUGCAGCGUAGAAACAUCCUGCAGUCCCUGAACACACCAACAUCUACCAGUUUCUCAGACUGGAGGUUGUGACCUCACCAGGUAGAUGUUAUUCUCAUGUAGAUGGAAAUGCAGUAGAGAGCAGUAAAUAAACACAGUAGAGAGCAGUUAAUAAACACAGUAGAUUGCAUUGAAUAGAGGAAGUAGAGUUCAGUAAAUAAACACAGUAGAUUGCAGUAAAUAAACGCAGUAGAGUGCAUUAAAUAAACGCAGUAGAGUUCAGUAAAUAAACACAGUAGAGUGCAGUAAAUAAACACGGUAGAUUGCAGUAAAGAAACGCAGUAGAGUGUAGUAAAUAAACACAGUAGAGUUCAGUAAAUAAACACAGUAGAGAGCAGUAAAUAAACACAGUAGAUUGCAGUGAAUAGAGGCAGUAGAGUUCAGUAAAUAAACACAGUAGAUUGCAGUAAAUAAAUGCAGUAGAGUGCAGUAAAUAAACGCAGUAGACUUCAGUAAAUAAACACGGUAGAUUGCAGUAAAGAAACGGAGUAGAGUGUAGUAAAUAAACACAGUAGAGUUCAGUAAAUAAACACAUUAGAGAGCAGUAAAUAAACACAGUAGAUUGCAGUAAAUAAACGCAGUAGAGUUCAGUAAAUAAACGCAGUAGAGAGCAGUAAAUAAACACAGUAGAUUGCUGUAAAUAAAUGCAGUAGAGUGUAGUAAAUAAAUACAGUAGACUUCAGUAAAUAAACACAGUAGAGUGCAGUAAAUAAAUGCAGUAGAGAGCAGUAAAUAAAUGCAGUAGACUUCAGUUAAUAAACACGGUAGAUUGCAGUAAAUAAAUGCAGUAGAGUGCAGUAAAUAAACGCAGUAGACUUCAGUAAAUAAACAUGGUAGAUUGCAGUAAAGAAACGGAGUAGAGUGUAGUAAAUAAACACAGUAGAGUUCAGUAAAUAAACACAGUAGAGAGCAGUAAAUAAACACAGUAGAUUGCAGUAAAUAAACGCAGUAGAGUUCAGUAAAUAAACGCAGUAGAGAGCAGUAAAUAAACACAGUAGAUUGCAGUAAAUAAACGCAGUAGAGUGCAGUAAAUAAAUGCAGUACACUUCAGUAAAUAAACACAGUAGAGUGCAGUAAAUAAA